rnacentral:rRNA from 1 species
UACGUAGGAUGCAAGCGUUGUCCGGAAUUAUUGGGCGUAAAGAGCUCGUAGGCGGUCUGUCGCGUCGGAUGUGAAAAUCCAGGGCUCAACCCUGGACCUGCAUUCGAUACGGGCAGACUAGAGUUCGGCAGGGGAGACUGGAAUUCCUGGUGUAGCGGUGAAAUGCGCAGAUAUCAGGAGGAACACCGGUGGCGAAGGCGGGUCUCUGGGCCGAUACUGACGCUGAGGAGCGAAAGCGUGGGGAGCGAACAGG